UGGGAUCCAGACAGUGGGAGAA
rnacentral:miRNA from 1 species